rnacentral:rRNA from 1 species
GAUCAUUACUUGARUUGUCAAACGGGUUGUUGCUGGCGCUCAUAGGGGGCAUGUGCACACUCUGUUUACACAUCCACGUCACACCUGUGCACCCUCUGUAGUUCUAUGGUCUGGGGGACCCUGUCUUCCUUCUGUGGUUCUACGUCUUUACACACACACUGUAAUAAAGUUUUAUGGAAUGUACAUCGCGUCUAACGCAAUACAAUACAACUUUCAGCAACGGAUCUCUUGGCUCUCGCAUCGAUGAAGAACGCAGCGAAAUGCGAUAAGUAAUGUGAAUUGCAGAAUUCAGUGAAUCAUCGAAUCUUUGAACGCACCUUGCGCCCCUUGGCUAUUCCGAGGGGCAUGCCUGUUUGAGUAUCAUGAACACCUCAACUCUCAUGGUUUGCCAUGAUGAGUUGGACUCUGGGGGUUUUGCUGGCCUGUGGUCGGCUCCUCUCAAAUUAAUCAGCCUCCCAGUGUUUGGUGGCAUCACGGGUGUGAUAAAUAUCUACGCUCGCUGUUGUCUGCCAGGUAACCUUUGGUCACAAAGGUUUGCUGGAGCUCACAGAUGUCUCUCCUCAGCGAGGACAGCUUUUUUAACGUUCGAUCUCAAAUCAGGUAGGACUACCCGCUGAACUUAAGCAUAUCAAUAAGCGGAGGAAAAGAAACUAACAAGGAUUCCCCUAGUA